CGUAAGGAAGACACCACCCCUAAAAUGUAUGGCUUACUGCAGCAUAAUCUUGUCCCAUCACAGCCUCUGUGAAUUCAGGUUCUAAUGCUGGCCUUCAAAAACUCUCUCCUCACACACUGUGCCUCUCUUGCUCAUGUCUUGGUCCUUUCUUUGACUGAGAAGAACAAUUUAAACUAAUUGAAAGUAUGCCAAAUCAUCCAUUUCUAAAGAAACAACCAUCUUUAAUUCAUUGUGAACUCUCUUCCUUAGCCUCCUCCACAUUAUUUAUAAGGAAUUUUCCUCUUUAAUUGAGUGGAUCUUCGAGUGAAAGGAGACUCUGGGCUGAUGGUACCAGAAAAAGGUCUACUCAAGGUAAGAGAAUCUGCACCUAUUUGAAGAUAAAUAUUGGCAUAUGCUGUGUCAGUUUGACUGUAGCUUGCUUCUGGGUGCUCUACAGGAGAGAGACAGAUCUCAAAGAAAGCUUCUUCUCCUCAGAACAGGAGGGACAGCACCCUGCCUCUGGAGCCUCCUAACACAGUGCCAGGCAAAGGGGUGCAAGGAGCAGUGGAGAGACGUUUCUCCUCUCUGCUUCACCAUCUCACCAACUCAGGAGCAGUGUCCUGCCAUCGUGGGUCACCCAUCCCCCUGAUGGGGCAGAUGGGGAGGGUGCAGCGGGUGCCCCUGGAGCCCGUGGUCAGGUGGGCUGCCGAGCGGAUGUGAGAUGCAAACAGCCUCACAACUGUGCUUUCGUAAAUAAGCCAUCACAUGGGACUCGUGCGUGUCUGUUGGAGCAAUUUGAAAACCAGGAAAAUCAUGUGGCAACAGAAGUCUGCAGGCUCCCAGCCCUCCCCCACUCCCUAACCUUCUUGCUCCCUUUCCUUUCUCUCUUUCUCUGUCUUACUAAGAUGGUAACCUCAAAAGCUGGAGUUGGAUUCUGCUCCCACUAAGCUCAUCCAGGGCUUUGGGCUAUUUGUGUUGGCACACGGUGUUGGCAUUCAACCUACCUGUGCCACUCAGACCACCUGUGCUGUGUGAUGUGCCCUACAAGCCUGCCAGGGAAAUUUGCAAAUUCAGUCUCCUAAAGGGAUUGAAGGACAUUUUCCCAGAGGGGAUGUUAAAUAUGAUUAAACCCAUUGCUCAAUGGGAUUUUCACUAUUGCAGGCAAGUCUGGCAGAAGUUGUCUUUUUCUUGGCAGUAUGGUUUUAAUACCUGAUGGGCACUUAAUGGAGUUACUUGUAAGGUCAGAAAAGAGAGUUCUGGAGUUUGCAAACUAAAAAAAACUUGAAGUUCUUCACUGCUGCCUCAUACAACUCAUUCACAGUAGCACAGCAAAGCAGGAGUUUCAGAACAUUGAGACAUCAGCUAAGAGCAGGUGGUGUUCUGUGAACAAAAAAUGCUACUACAUUGUCAAUUACUGUACAUUGUCAAUUACUGCAGGUCUUUGAGCCUGGCUCCACUUACGGCCUCCCAUUGUAACUGAGGUCUUAGGUGGAUAUGCCAACCAGCCACGCUGAAUGCAAGGAACUCAGAGCCAGGAAGGAACUGAGGGAUUUAUUGAGCUGUGCCAGAGGUUUCAUGAAGAUGCUUUACUUAACACUGGGUAUGGAAGUAACUGCUGGAUACAGAGCAGGAUCUGACUGAGGGAAGCCAAAAUCCAGCUUGAGAAUUUUCUGUAGUGGAGAAACUCAUCGAACUUUUCUUGAAGAGGUGUGAUGAGCAGAGGAGGAGGUGGGGAGAUGAACCACUUUUUAAAUGAAGUGCUGGGAACCUGCUGGCAGCUAUAAUCCUGUCAUCACUACCUUACACAUUUCUUUAUGGCCAAUUCACUCUCUCAUUCUAUGUUUACAUGGGAGAAGGGUGGAGAAAAACGUUAACUUUAAUCAAGUCAGCAAUACUUCUUGGCUUUGACACACUCCACUCAGGUGAAAGAGGUUCUGCUGCACGCACUGGCAUAUAUCCCUGUGGAGAGGGGAUCUGUCCUGUUCCCUCCUCUCAGACCUUCAUAUCCCUGCCACUCCUCAUAUGUCCCUCUAGAAACACUCUAAUCUGCCACCACACCAACUUCUGUGACCAUGUUCCAUGAACUUAACCUUAGUUUUGAAGGCCACAAAGCUACAGUGGUGCCAGUGCUGGGCUUCAUGCCUGACCUUCAGGGAGAGGGUGACACAGACUGAAGGCAGGCUGCUGUGAGUUCUGAGAUACUCAGGGAAACCGGGAAUCCAAGCACGCUCCACCACUUUGUGGAGAACCUGAGACCUCCCACUUAUGGCAAGGACGUGGCAUCAUUGGGUGGGAAUGACUGGUACCAGGGAAGCAUUUAUUGGUAAAUAAUUUGCUAAGAAAUGGGACUUCAAGGGAAUGAAGUUGCAAAUUCAGACUUUUGACUGGAAAGCGAGUGCGGGAGACAGAUUUUUAAAAUAUCAAAACAUUUUAUUUCAAGGCAAUCUUCCUGAAUUAUUCUUUUCUAAAUGCCAAAAUGCUGUGAAUGGACAUUUUCAAAGUGAAUUUCUGACAUUUUGUUUCAAGCCAGCAUUUUGCAUUUAAAACUUGA